rnacentral:tRNA from 1 species
GGCUUGUAGCACAGUGAUAGAGUGCUUGCCUAGCAUGCAUGAGGUACUGGGUUCAAUCCUCAGCACUA